rnacentral:misc_RNA from 1 species
AGAAAGACGAUUGAUAAUUUCAUCGCCUGGGCACUGAAAAAGAUAUCUAGUCCAAGUGUGAUGCUAGUUGUGUUGUUUCUGGAUAUAAUGACAGUGCGGUUGUCUAAAAUAAGAAAAUUUGGGUGUUCUGUCUUUGUUGAUAAUCCUGGGUGGACAUUUGUUGUUCAGGUUUCCAGUUUGAGAGGUUGUAUGUGUUGUGUAUAUCAUGUGUUACAUGACAAUUAGGCAAUGUUUUAACAAGCAUCUUUG